UGGAACACCUCCUUUCUAGAGACAAAAAAAGAAAAUAGACCCUUACUCUCGCUGUUAAUUCAAAAAAAGAAAAGACUUAAAAUACAGAGUCUCGUAGCUCAGCUGGUUAGAGUACUACACUGAUAAUGUAGGGGUCGGCAGUUCGAGUCUGCCCGGGACUACAAGUAAAUUUGAAAAUUGAUUAAUUUGAAAAUUUGAAARUGAUUUAAGUUAAAAAGGAAAUUCUAGGGGUUGAGAGGUUAUGAAUACUCAUAACUCAUAACUAAUAACUCAUCACUAAGAUUGGGGGAUUAGCUCAGCUGGCUAGAGCGCCUGCCUUGCACGCAGGAGGUCAUCGGUUCGACUCCGAUAUUCUCCACUAUUCGAGUGAAGAGUAAAAAGUAAAAAGUAAUUAACUAAUCACUAUUUACUUAUCACUUAUCACUAGAAAAAAGUUCAUUGACAUAUUGAGAUAAACAUACAAACAAGUAGAAAGAACACUUUAGUAAUUAGUACAGAGUGAAUAGUAAUUAGUCUUAGGGCUAGUCACUAAUUACUAAGAACUAAUCACUAAAAAAAGAAAACAAUAAGCAAAAUAAGGGCGUAUGGGGGAUGCC
rnacentral:tRNA from 1 species